AACGAACGCUGGCGGCAGGCCUAACACAUGCAAGUCGAGCGAGGACUUCGGUCCUAGCGGCGGACGGGUGAGUAACGCGUGGGAACGUGCCCUUUGCUUCGGAAUAGCCCUGGGAAACUGGGAGUAAUACCGGAUGAGCCCUUUGGGGGAAAGAUUUAUCGGCGAAGGAUCGGCCCGCGUUGGAUUAGGUAGUUGGUGGGGUAAUGGCCUACCAAGCCGACGAUCCAUAGCUGGUUUGAGAGGAUGAUCAGCCACACUGGGACUGAGACACGGCCCAGACUCCUACGGGAAGCAGCAGUGGGGAAUCUUAGACAAUGGGGGAAACCCUGAUCUAGCCAUGCCGCGUGAGCGAUGAAGGCCUUAGGGUUGUAAAGCUCUUUCAGCUGGGAAGAUAAUGACGGUACCAGCAGAAGAAGCCCCGGCCAACUCCGUG
rnacentral:rRNA from 1 species